GGACUCUUAGCUGAGUUGGCUCUAGCGGUGGUUUGAAACGCCACAGACGGAGGUUCGAAUCCUUCAGAGUCCA
rnacentral:tRNA from 1 species